rnacentral:rRNA from 1 species
AGUGAACGCUGGCGGUAGGCCUAACACAUGCAAGUCGAACGGCAGCACAGUAAGAGCUUGCUCUUACGGGUGGCGAGUGGCGGACGGGUGAGGAAUACAUCGGAAUCUACUUUUUCGUGGGGGAUAACGUAGGGAAACUUACGCUAAUACCGCAUACGACCUACGGGUGAAAGCAGGGGAUCUUCGGACCUUGCGCGAUUGAAUGAGCCGAUGUCGGCUUAGCUCGUUGGCGGGGUAAAGGCCCACCAAGGCGACGAUCCGUAGCUGGUCUGAGAGGAUGAUCAGCCACACUGGAACUGAGACACGGUCCAGACUCCUACGGGAGGCAGCAGUGGGGAAUAUUGGGCAAUGGGCGAAAGCCUGAUCCAGCCAUACCGCGUGAGUGAAGAAGGCCUUCGGGUUGUAAAGCCCUGUUGUUGGGAAAGAAAAGAAGCAGUUUAAUACCCGGCUGUUCUGACGGUACCCAAAGAAUAAGCACCGGCUAACUUCGUG